rnacentral:rRNA from 1 species
GACGAACGCUGGCGGCGUGCUUAACACAUGCAAGUCGAGCGGUAAGGCCCUUUCGGGGGUACACGAGCGGCGAACGGGUGAGUAACACGUGGGUGACCUGCCCUCAGCUCUGGGAUAAGCCCGGGAAACUGGGUCUAAUACCGGAUAUGACUCCAUGACGCAUGUUGUGGGGUGGAAAGCCUUGUGCGGCUGAGGAUGGGCCCGCGGCCUAUCAGCUUGUUGGUGGGGUGAUGGCCUACCAAGGCGACGACGGGUAGCCGGCCUGAGAGGGCGACCGGCCACACUGGGACUGAGACACGGCCCAGACUCCUACGGGAGGCAGCAGUGGGGAAUCUUGCGCAAUGGGCGAAAGCCUGACGCAGCGACGCCGCGUGAGGGAUGACGGCCUGGUGU